rnacentral:sRNA from 1 species
UCCUAGCCCUGAUGGAAGCGGCAUCCUUUUUCUGGCUCCUUUAGCCAGGAAAGAUACAGCGGACAGCAGGUAUCAGC